ACACCUCCACCUGCCCCGCCAUGGCGCCGCCGCCACAGACCACCCCCGGCCGUUCUGAGGGCACCGGGAGGUGCGCCUCGUCCUCCUCUUCAACCUGGUUCAAGGAAUCGAGCCGGGGGCGCCCUACAUCGCCGCCCUCGUCCUCUUUUCUCCCUCAGCUCCGGCGGCGAAUUCCGUCGCUUCGUCGCUGACUGUCCUCCUCCGGCCAAACCGAGAAGACCAGCGUGUUCCUGAUGCUCACCGCCGACGGUUCUCCGGUGAUGCCCCGGUUCCGGCGACACCCCAUCCUGCUUCCCCAUGGCGAGGCGCACCCCCGCAGCGCACUCAAUCAUCCUGGUUCGCUCCGUGCCGCCAAAUCCGAGCUCGACUCGAGCUCAGUCAUGGCGUUCUGUCUCAGACCCCGCCUUGUUCUGGGUCAAAACAGCGGCACGUCUUUCUCUAAUCAAAACAGACCGAUCAGCUUAGUGAUCCGGCGCUCGAUGGGCCUCAGCCCAUGUCUUCCUGGCGCAGCUAGAUGCUGAUGUGCGCCCAACAUCUAUCCGCCGCCGGCCCAGCACAGACGCAGCAGGGUUCCCAGGCCAGCAUUUGUUUCUUCCCGGAUAGGAUCGCGAAGUGAUGUGGUGAGAUACG